rnacentral:rRNA from 1 species
UACGGGGGGGGGCAAGCGUUGUUCGGAAUUACUGGGCGUAAAGGGCUCGUAGGCGGCCAACUAAGUCGGAUGUGAAAUCCCCAGGCUCAACCUGGGAACUGCAUCCGAUACUGGAUGGCUUGAAUUCGGGAGAGGGAUGCAGAAUUCCAGGUGUAGCGGUGAAAAUGCGUAGAUAUCUGGAGGAAUACCGGUGGCGAAGGCGGCAUCCUGGACCGACAUUGACGCUGAGGAGCGAAAAGCCAGGGGAGCAAACGGG